rnacentral:rRNA from 1 species
GCGGAGGAAAAGAAACCAACAGGGAUUGCCUCAGUAACGGCGAGUGAAGCGGCAACAGCUCAAAUUUGAAAUCUGGCCUCUGGCCCGAGUUGUAAUUUGCAGAGGAUGUUUCUGGCGAGGUGCCUUCCGAGUUCCCUGGAACGGGACGCCAUAGAGGGUGAGAGCCCCGUACGGUUGGUCGCUAAGCCUCUGUGAAACUCCUUCGACGAGUCGAGUAGUUUGGGAAUGCUGCUCUAAAUGGGAGGUGUACGCCUUCUAAAGCUAAAUAUAGGCUAGAGACCGAUAGCGCACAAGUAGAGUGAUCGAAAGAUGAAAAGCACUUUGAAAAGAGGGUUAAAUAGUACGUGAAAUUGUUGAAAGGGAAGCGCUCUUGACCAGACUUGCGCCGGUUGAUCAUCCACCGUUCUCGGUGGUGCACUCUGCCGGCUCAGGCCAGCAUCAGUUCGGCUUGGGGGAUAAAGGCUUCGGGAAUGUGGCUCUCUCCGGGGAGUGUUAUAGCCCGUUGCGUAAUACCCUGGGCCGGACUGAGGUUCGCGCAUCUGCAUGGAUGCUGGCGUAAUGGUCAUCAGUGACCCGUCUU